rnacentral:tRNA from 1 species
GCGCCUGUGGCUCAACUGGAUAGAGCAUCUGACUUCGGAUCAGAGGGUUGGGGGUUCGAGUCCCUCCGGGCGCGCUA